rnacentral:misc_RNA from 1 species
UUUUUAACUUUAUACCAAACACAUCCUUAGUUGAGCAUUGAAAUGUUUUUUGAUAGCAUAAAGUCUAUUUAACUUGUUGACUGACAAUGUUGAUCCUUUUCAUGGCCAAAAAUUAAUGCUAAAUUGCAUUGCAUGAACUAAAUGUGAAACUCUAAAGGUGAAGUUGAUUUGUUUGUUCCUAUAUUUUUAGUGUGGAAGUGAGGAUGCAAAUCUUCUUGAAGAUCUAAUACUUGGUGCCUUAUCUUUUAUAUUGAAUACAGUUGUUCUACACUGGCAAUAUAAUUGCAGAAGGAAAACCUUGAAUAUCAAUUAAUAGAUGAAGUCAAUUAGGACGUGCUAUUAGCUUGAAGUUUUUGUGGAGAGUGUGUCAACUUUCUCUUUUACCAUUUCUUAGUUUCUAGGUUAAAGGUGCCUUUGCUGUCACUGAGAAGGAGAUUGUUGGUUCAGCCUUGGCCAUGGCAGGACGAUUGUGGAAUUUAGGAGGUACCAUGCUUUGUAGCUCAUCAUUUUGGCUAAUCUUCUGAAGGGAUUCUAUGCAUGGGACUUCCCUCUUGUAGGCUUUGGGAGGGUUAAAUGUAUGCAACUCUUCCUCUUGCUUUGCAAGGAAGCUGUUGCUGUGGGUUGAACCUGUGAACUCUGGGUCAUAAUAAAGCAACCUUACUAUUACACCAAGGUUCACCCUUGUGGCUAAACUUUAAUUGGGAAAAAAAGCAGUAGAACAUAAAAAAGUGAAAACUGUGCAGAGUAACUGAGCAAGAACUUGUGCUUGCAAAGUCUGCAGCUUUAUUGCAUUCUCCCUGUAUACAUAUGCAAUUUUUUGUUACAUGCCUAAGCUUUUACAUGGACACAAAAGUUCGUCAAGAAUAUCCUUUUAGCUUUUUUUAAUUGGUGAGGAGUAACUGAGUAAACUGUAUAAAUGAUUAAUUUUAAAAUUUAUCAGAGAGUAGGCAAGUGUGGCGUUAAGUUUUUCAUGUGAAUAGAUCCCCUCUCUCAAAUAGCCUUCGAUGUUCAGAUUUUCCAUAUUGAACUUUUACUAUGUUCUGAUAACAUGAUUCACUUAUUUUUCUGGAAUUUCUACCUGUUGUUUUGCUAUUUUAUUUGAUCAG